rnacentral:rRNA from 1 species
UACGGGGGGGGCAAGCGUUGUUCGGAAUUACUGGGCGUAAAGGGCCAGUAGGCGGCCAACUAAGUCGGAUGUGAAAUCCCCAGGCUCAACUUGGGAGCUGCAUCCGAUACUGGAUGGCUUGAAUUCGGGAGAGGGAUGCAGAAUUCCAGGUGUAGCGGUGAAAUGCGUAGAUAUCGAGAGGAACACCGGUGGCGAAGGCGGCGAUCUGGACGAUGACUGACGCUGAGACGCGAAAGCGUGGGGAGCAAACAGG